rnacentral:rRNA from 1 species
GACGUGACUUCAGAGUUUGAUCCUGGCUCAGGAUGAACGCUGGCGGCGUGCUUAACACAUGCAAGUCGAACGGACAAGAUGAAGCCUAGCGAUUCUUGUUAGUGGCGGACGGGUGAGUAACGCGUGGGUAACCUGCCUUAUACUGGGGGAUAACAGUUAGAAAUGACUGCUAAUACCGCAUAAGUGCACAGUUUCGCAUGAAACAGUGUAAAAAACUCCGGUGGUAUGAGAUGGACCCGCGUCUGAUUAGCUAGUUGGUGGGGUAACGGCCUACCAAGGCGACGAUCAGUAGCCGGCCUGAGAGGGUGAACGGCCACAUUGGGACUGAGACACGGCCCAA